UAGCCAUUCAUUUUUCACCAUAGGAUAAAAUAGUUUCCUAAUGCUGUGUAGUUUUUCCUGGUGGCUGAUUUGACAUACAGCUCUCCUUCCUUAACAAGAGAUGAUGACCACCUGACAUUAACAUUACUGGCUAUAAUGAUUUUGGAGUUCCCUACAAAACCUUUAACUUGGAUCCUGAAACAGGGACAGUGAGUUGCAAGAAAGUCAUCACCACUUAAUAUUACUUCAUUUUAAAUACCAUAUUCUUUGAGUAGUGCUUGCAAAAUGUGCACGCUCUUCCGUGUAUAAGAUGCAAAGUCUAUGCCCGUAGCUCUGGACAAAGAAGGAGAAAAUGACACAAAAAGAAAGAAACGGGUAAAAUAACUCAUCAAAAUAAGCAGUUUGGUUCGACUCUCCUACACUGGUUCCUGAUGAACAGAAGGAUGUCUCACAGAAAGCGUGAUAUUAGGCCCUGAUGAAGGAUAGAGCAUCUUCUAUAUUGUGUUGUCCUUGCAGUUGUUUCCAUUGAUUUCUGUGUUAACAGUGGAAUACCUGCCUUCAUGUAAACACUAGGAUAUAUAAACUUAUCAUAUGGCGUGGGGCACACAGUCCCUUUGUGGUCUUUCACUAUUGCAUGAUUUCUUCUAAAUGAAUUAACUCAAUGAAGACAAAUUAAGAGAAACCUGAUACAGGACCACAGAAAAAUGUCCAGUCUACUUUGUAAGGACCAAGAUACGUAGAUUAACCUUCUUCUUAUGAUAUCUCUGCAAAUAGGUGGAAGAAUGUUACCCUCAAUCUGAUUGUUUUCCAAGUGUCAGAUGCUGCCCUUCUUUUUCACCAGAAUAGGUGAACAUCAUCAGAAUGCAUACCCAAAGCAUAAGACAGCACUUGCAUUAUUCCUCAAAUGCUUUACACUUAAGCUGUCUUGGGGCAUGUCAAAAAAUGUAAUGACCAUAUAAUACAAAUUACUUGUUAUCAUGAGUCUAUUGUUUCCCCCAGACAGGAUGAUCAUGGUUGAUUGUUUAAUUAAACCACUUUCUUGUAUAUAUCAAUUUA